rfam:Myotis brandtii contig307248, whole genome shotgun sequence.
AUCAUUCCGUGGUGUUUAAGCAGCUAGAGUAAACACAUUUUAUUCAUGUCUUUAAAAAUUCAAAAUUAGUGUGAGCUGUGCCUCCCUCAAAACCUGUUACAACAUUGGCCCAUUACCCAUCUGAUG